rnacentral:rRNA from 1 species
UACGAAGGGUGCAAGCGUUGUUCGGAAUUACUGGGCGUAAAGGGCGCGUAGGCUGGUUUGUAAGUCUAAUGUGAAAUCCCCGGGCUUAACCCGGGACGUGCAUUGGAAACUGCAGAUCUUGAAUGCUUAAGAGGGUGGUAGAAUUCCAGGAGUAGAAGUGAAAUUCGAUAGAUAUCUGGAGGAAUACCUGAGGCGAAGGCGGCCACCUGGUAAGACAUUGACGCUGAGGC